CCUACGGGUGGCAGCAGUGGGGAAUAUUGCACAAUGGGGGAAACCCUGAUGCAGUAACGCCGCGUGAGUGAAGAAGGUUUUCGGUAUGUAAAGCUCUAUCAGCAGGGAAGAAGAUGACGGUAGCUGAUUAAGAAGCCCCGGCUAACUACGUCACAGCAGCCGCGGGAAUACGUAGGGGGAGCGCGUUAUCCGGAUUUACUGGGUGUAAAGGGAGCGGAGACGGCAGUGCAAGUAAGGAGUGAAAGCCCCGCGCCCAACCACGGAACUGCGCGGGAAACUGUGCGGCUGGAGUGCGGGAGGGGCAAGCGGAAUUCCUGGUGUAGCGGUGAAAUGCGUAGAUAUUAGGAGGAACACCAGUGGCGAAGGCG
rnacentral:rRNA from 1 species